rnacentral:rRNA from 1 species
CGCCUCUCGACCAAUCAUGAGAGGUCCAGCCUGCCCAGUGACCCUGUUCAACGGCCGCGGUAUCCUAACCGUGCGAAGGUAGCGUAAUCACUUGUUCUUUAAAUAGGGACUAGUAUGAAAGGCACCACGAGGGUUGUACUGUCUCCUUUCUCUAAUCAGUGAAACUAAUCUCCCCGUGAAGAAGCGGGGAUAAAAAUAUAAGACGAGAAGACCCUAUGGAGCUUUAAACUAUAUAAUAUUAGCUUACUUAUUUACACAUUUCAGAAAAAUACUAUACCCUAGCUUUAUAAUUAUUAGUUUUUGGUUGGGGUGACCACGGAGAAAAAAGAAACCUCCGCAAUGAAAGACUCUCCUCCUUAGUUCUAGGACUACUUUCCUACACAUCAAUAAAUUGACAUCUAUUGACCCAACAACGUUGACCAAUGAACCAAGUUACCCUAGGGAUAACAGCGCAAUCCACUUCAAGAGCCCAUAUCGACAAGUGGGUUUACGACCUCGAUGUUGGAUCAGGGUAUCCCAGUGGUGCAGCCGCUACUAACGGUUCGUUUGUUCAACGAUUAAAACCCU